rnacentral:hammerhead_ribozyme from 1 species
AUUCAGCUGACGAGUCUCAAAUAGGAUGAAACACAUGUACCGGAU